ensembl:lncRNA
UCCAUUUUUCUCCCCAUGUAUACAAAGCAUAACUGUCAUGAUAUGUGUCAUUUUAAGCCGAUUUUCCAUCCUGUGAUGCGAUGAAUUGGAGCGAAUAAGCUGGAAGCAGCAGAUGGCUAACAGCCCAGUGCGGUUGCUAAGGUUGCCUGAAUGCUACUCGCAGAGUUUUCUGGUUAGCAUAGAACAAGACAAGAGAGCUACACACAGAAUGAGCUAUCAAUCGUGUAAAAAGCGUAAUCCGUAGUCUUAAAAAAAUGAUUCGUCUGUGUUUGGAUGGCAGGCAUAUUGGCAAGUUGUCAUGACAACAGGGAUGUUCUGCUGAUGAAGACUUGCUGUCGACUGUCCAAUCGGAUGACGGCAGCUUAAACUGCAGCGUGAGCGCAAGUGUUGAGGGGGAUACACGUUUUCCAGAUACACACAAUGCCAAGGACGACGCCCUUGUCCAAGACCACCUACGGAUCAUAAUCGGCUACAGGAGAGGGAUGGCUAACGGACUGACACGAUCUACUUUGGAAUGAGAACAAGGCGGAGGAAGAAACGAGACAGGGCCAGCAGAUUAUGGAGAAUUCCAGAGGGUCUUCAAAAUCCAGAAAGAAAGCAUGGAGGCUUGGGAAGGAGCAGGAUGGUAUGACCUUCCUGGAACCCUUUUCACUCAGAGGAACUGUUUCUCUGAAGAUAUACAGUAGUCAAAGUCAUCAAGGAAGUACCAUGGGCCAUCCACGGCUUGCAGAACCUCCACUGCUUGCAUUAGUGGAGCCCACAGACCAUUCUCUGAGGGGCAGAAGAUCAGUAGUACAGAGCUGCCGGACUUCAUUGAUGGUCGAUCCAGGAUAAAGGACGAGGAGGCCCAAAAGUAAAAAAAGGUGUGUGAGAAUUCUGUUUAACAUUUACGGAAGGAGUCUCCAGAGUCAGUGCUUUGUGCCAGUCGGGUUUUCCACCACAGUAAAGUCUUCAGGAAAGAGGAGUUUAUGCUUGGGGAUUUCUUGGUGACAUGGCAAGUUGCAAGUUUUCCUUCAAGAGGGUACGUCUAGUGAGGGAAAAACAAUUUGUAGCUGUUAUAAGUGACGAAAUGGGAUUCCAUAAGUGCUUACAGUAUGUAAGCCUUGAAUUCCAUACAUCUAGCAUAUAUACUGUAUAUCCCUGUGUUUUCUCACUACAGAUGAACUCUGUUGUUCUGAAAUGCUAUGCCCCUCCUCAGCCCCUGCGUUCUUGCCAGAGCAGCUUUAACCUUCACGCUGUUCAUCUAGGCAGUGGCGCUUUGUCUAAAUCUCCCACAUCAAAGGCAACAUGCAAAUGCUGCAGACAGUUGGAGCAUUUGAUGUUGUCUCUUUUUUUCCCGCCAGGGUAGGAGCUUAUGCUUACUGUGAUUACCGUGUCAGGAUGCAACAGUGUUUGCGAAAGGCUGAGUAGCUGUGAUGCCGUUCGAUUAACUAGCUAACUUCCAAAUGCUCAAGAACUAGAAUGCAUAGUUGGGUUUGAGUGUUCAUGUGAGGGAAUCUUGGCGAAAGAGCAGUUUAUUUUACCCAUAAUGCACUGUGAAUGCAGGUUUUAAAGCAGUAGCAGAGCAUAAAAAAAAGCCCAAUUACUUGAAUAGGAAAAUAGUUUGGCGUCAUUCUGAGCAACGAUGCAAAGCUUGAAAUUUCGUGUUGCCCAGUAGAAAACAGCAGGGUAGACUGUGGUGUGUCUCUUCUUUUUUAAAAAACAACAACAAAAAAAGACAAUGCACACUUUUCAUAGCUAGCUAGCUAGAUUACACAUUCAAAUGAUCAUUUAGCAUCCAUCUGUCUCCUAUAAACAUUUUCAAAUGAUUAUUUAUUUGCUAAGAAAAAUUCUAAGAUGAACAGUCCUCUCGAAACAAAGCAUUUCAGACGCAUCCAAAAAGAAAGCUUGUUUUUUUUUUUGUUUUUUUUUUCCCUCACAACUGUUUGAGAUGACAAUCAUAUUAAAUAUGACGGGGUUUUCUUAGUGUUCUCUCACUCUGUCUGUCGCUAGCCUUCUCUGUAUGUAAGUACAGCUGGACUUUACAAUUGCCCUGAGUGGAUUUAAUAUUGACUGAAAAAGAAUUUCCUGUUGCCAUCUUGAUGUCGUUUUCAUUUAAUACGAACAUCAGAUCUGAGUUUUAGCAAAAUGCUAGUAAUGCACAUUCACUCUAAGGCCAGGUCUGAGUUAACCCGUGUAUUUUUUUUACCCUACAGGAUAGAUUGCAUGUGUAUGCUGUUAUGUGAAUGAUUACUGUACAUGCAUACAUGGUAAAGUGUGAUAAAUAAUUAAUAAAACGCUGUUAUAGGUGGUGUAAUGCGUUAUCACCCAAUAACAGUUGGAUAACUAGAAGUAGCAAUUUAUUUAUUAAAGAAAAAUUUGUCAUAGUUUUUAUCCUUUUAUAGGUACGUUUAAUGUUUUGGAAUGUCUGCAAAACAAGUUACUUAUGUUAUUGCAGCUAUAAAUAAUUACCUCUGACUGUCACAAAACACUGACACUGGAGACUCUUUCCAAAAAUGCUAAUUAAAGAUCUCCAAACAGAAAACACAUUUUAUAGUUUACAUGGAGAGUCUGCCUGGAUUGCACUGUUACUGUAGAAAAGUGAUUUAUUAUAUACAGUGCAUCCGGAAAGUAUUCACAGCGCUUCACUUUUCCCACAUUUUGUUAUGUUACAGCUUUAUUCCAGCAUGGAUUCAAUUCAUUAUUUUCCUCAAAAUUCUACAAACAAUACCCCAUAAUGACAAUGUGAAAGAAGUUUGUUUGAAAUCUUUGCAAAUUUAUUUAAAAAAAAAAAAAAAAAAAAAAAAAGCACAUGGACAUAAGUAUUCACAGCCUUUGCUCAGUACUUUGUUGAAGCACCUUUGGCACCGAUUUCAGUCUCCAGACUUUUUGAGUAUGAUGCUACAAGCUUGGCACACCUAUUUUUUGGCAGUUUCUCACAUUCUUCUUUGCAGGACCUCUCAAGCUCCAUCAGGUUGGAUGGGGAGUGUCGGUGCACAGCCAUUUUCUGAUCUCUCCAGAGAUGUUCAAUCAGGUUCAAGUCUGGGCUCUGGCUGGGCCACUCAAGGACAUUCACAGAGUUGUCCUGUAGCCACUCCUUUGUUAUCUAGGCUGUGUGCUUAGGGUCGUUGUCCUGAUGGAAGAUGAACGUUCACCCUAGUCUGAGGUCCAGAGUGCUCUGGAGCAGGUUUUCAUCAAGGAUGUCUCUGUACAUUGCUGCAUUCAUCUUUCCCUCGAGCCUGACUAGUCUCCCAGUUCCUGCUGCUGAAAAACAUCCCCACAGCAUGAUGCUGCCACCACCAUGCUUCACUGUAGGGAUGGUAUUGGCCAGGUGAUGACUGGUACCUGGUUUCCUCCAGACAUGACGCUUGCCAUUCAGCAAAACAGUUCAAUCUUUGUUCAAUCUCUGGUCUGAGAGUCCUUCAGGUGCCUUUUGGCAAACUCCAGGUGGGCUGUCAUGUGCCUUUUACUGAGGAGUGGCUUCCGUCUGGCCACUCUACCAUACAGGCCUGAUUGGUGGAGUGCUGCAGAGAUGGUUGUUCUUCUGGAAGGUUCUCCUCUCUCCACAGAGACACGCUGGAGCUCUGUCAGAGUGACCAAUGGGUUUUUGGUCACCUCCCUGACUAAGGCCCUUCUCCCGCGAUCGCUGUUUGGCCGGGCGGCCAGCUCUAGGAAGAGUCCUGCUGGUUCCAGACUUCUUCCAUUUACAGAUGAUGGACUCCACUGUGCUCAUUGGGACCUUCAAUGCUACAGAAAUUUUUCUGUACCCUUCCCCAGAUCUGUGCCUCGAUACAAUCCUAUCUCGGAGGCCUACAGACAAUUCCAAAGCACUGUGAAUACUUUCUACCAUAACGCUUAUCCUACACAGGGUCACGGGGGAACCUGAGGUCUCUACCAGAGGACUUGGGGUACGGGGCAGGGGACACCCUGGAUAGGGUGCCAACCUAUAACAGGGCACAAUCGCACACACACACACACACGGACAAUUGUGAAAUGCCAAUCAGCCAACAGCAAUGAAGGUGCAAGGCAAACAUGCUAAGCACUAAGCUA